GACGAACGCUGGCGGCGUGCUUAACACAUGCAAGUCGAACGGUGAACGAGGGAGCUUGCUCCCUCCGGAUCAGUGGCGAACGGGUGAGUAACACGUGAGCAAUCUGCCCCGAACUCUGGGAUAAGCGUUGGAAACGACGUCUAAUACCGGAUACGACUCGGGAGGGCAUCCUCUCCGCGUGGAAAGAACUUCGGUUCGGGAUGAGCUCGCGGCCUAUCAGCUUGUUGGUGAGGUAACGGCUCACCAAGGCGACGACGGGUAGCCGGCCUGAGAGGGUGACCGGCCACACUGGGACUGAGACACGGCCCAGAAUCCUACGGGAGGCAGCAGUGGGGAAUAUUGCACAAUGGGCGCAAGCCUGAUGCAGCAACGCCGCGUGAGGGACGACGGCCUUCGGGUUGUAAACCUCUUUUAGCAGGGAAGAAGCGAAAGUGACGGUACCUGCAGAAAAAGCACCGGCUAACUACGUG
rnacentral:rRNA from 1 species